rnacentral:tRNA from 1 species
UGGGGGUUUGUCUAAUGGUAGGACCGCAGAUUCUGGGUCUGCUUGUCGGGGUUCGAAUCCCUGCCCCCCAG